rnacentral:rRNA from 1 species
UACGGGAGGCAGCAGUGGGGAAUAUUGCACAAUGGGCGAAAGCCUGAUGCAGCUAUGCCGCGUGUAUGAAGAAGGCCUUAGGGUUGUAAAGUACUUUCAUCGGGGAGGAAAAAACAAAACUAAUAAUUUUAUUUCUUGACGUUACCCGAAAAAGAAGCACCGGCUAACUCCGUGCCAGCAGCCGCGGUAAUACGGAGGGUGCUAGCGUUAAUCAGAAUUACUGGGCGUAAAGAGCACGUAGGUGGUUUUUUUAGGUCAGAUGUGAAAUCCCUGGGCUUAACCUGGAACUGCAUUUUGAAACUGAAAUACUAGAGUAUCGUAGAGGGAGGUAGAAUUCUAGGCGUAGCGGUGAAAUGCGUAGAUAUCUGGAGGAAUACCUGUGGCGAAAGCGGCCUCCUAAACGAAUACUGACACUGAGGUGCGAAAGCGUGGGGAGCGAAACAGGGAUUAGAUACC